rnacentral:misc_RNA from 1 species
GAUGAAGAACGCAGCGAAAUGCGAUAAGUAAUGUGAAUUGCAGAAUUCAGUGAAUCAUCGAAUCUUUGAACGCACAUUGCGCCCCCUGGUAUUCCGGGGGGCAUGCCUGUUCGAGCGUCAUUACACCACUCAAGCCUCGCUUGGUAUUGGGCAACGCGGUCCGCCGCGUGCCUCAAAUCGACCGGCUGGGUCUUCUGUCCCCUAAGCGUUGUGGAAACUAUUCGCUAAAGGGUGUUCGGGAGGCUACGCCGUAAAACAACCCCAUUUCUAAGGUUGACCUCGGAUCAGGUAGGGAUACCCGCUGAACUUAAGCAUAUCAAUAAGCGGAGGA